UGGGGAAUUUUGGACAAUGGGCGCAAGCCUGAUCCAGCAAUGCCGCGUGAGUGAAGAAGGCCUUCGGGUUGUAAAGCUCUUUUGUCAGGGAAGAAACGGGGGCGGCUAAUAUCGGCUCCUAAUGACGGUACCUGAAGAAUAAGCACCGGCUAACUACGUGCCAGCAGCCGCGGUAAUACGUAGGGUGCAAGCGUUAAUCGGAAUUACUGGGCGUAAAGCGUGCGCAGGCGGUUUUGUAAGUCUGAUGUGAAAUCCCCGGGCUCAACCUGGGAAUUGCAUUGGAGACUGCAAGGCUGGAAUCUGGCAGAGGGGGGUAGAAUUCCACGUGUAGCAGUGAAAUGCGUAGAGAUGUGGAGGAACACCGAUGGCGAAGGCAGCCCCCUGGGUCAAGAUUGACGCUCAUGCACGAAAGCGUGGGGAGCAAACA
rnacentral:rRNA from 1 species